rnacentral:lncRNA from 1 species
GGGGAACUCCCCUAUAUAAAACCAUCAGAUUUCAUGAGACUUAUUCACUAUCAUGAGAACAGCAUGGGAGAGACCCACCCCUAUGAUUCAAAUUACCUCCCACUGGGUCCCUCCCACAACAUGUGAGAAUUAGGAGAGCUACAAUUCAAGAUGAGAUUUGGGUGGGGACACAGCCAAACCAUAUCAGUGUCGAAUAUCUAAUUCUCGACAGAAAUCUACUCCUCAGGUGAGUCUAUAUUUUUAAGCCCUGCUAUUUCCUAACAAUUCAUUCUGGGCAGUCUCUUUGAAUCUUAAUAUCCUCAUCUUUAAAAUACAUACCAUUGUUUUUCAUUCUCCUUGUAAUUGCUGGGUCUCCAGUGUCAUUCUUACCUAAAUUUUUCAUAUUUCAAGAAGGCCCCAAAUCUGAAGGUCAAGAGAAGUGGCAGAAGACAAGUAAUUGUGGUGAAAAAAACUGCAGAGGCAGAGGAAGAACAAAAAAAGGGAAGAUUUUCCAAAACCCAGAAAGAAACUUGCCAUUAUGGGGAAAUUUGGACACAGACACACAUACAGAAAGAAUGCCAUAUGAAGAAGAAUGCAAAGGUACUUCUACAAGUCAAGUAUCGCCAAAGAUUGCCAGCAAACCACUGGAAACUAGGUGAACAGCAGGGAACAGACUCUUCCUCUCAGUUCUCAGAAGAUGCCAAUGCUGCUAAUACCUUGAUCUCAAACUUUAGCCUCCAAAACAGUGAAUACAUAAAUUUCUAUUGUUAAAGCCCUUCAGUUUGUGGAACUUUGUUACAGCAGCCUUAGCAAAUGAAUACAGUGUGUUAUAAAAGUAAGCAAAGACAUUAUUGUAUACAUCAACAUAUCACAACGGUAAACAGCCAAAUCUGUGCUAAUGAUUUUUUUCCAGCUUAUCUGUGGACUAGGACAACAGGAUGUAUUCAGCAUUAGUACUACAUUGUUAUUCAAUUACAUUGUUCCAUACAAUCAGGCCACAUAAGAAGAUGGAAACCCGUCUCUACUAAAAAUACAAAAAGCUAGCUGGGCAUGGCAGCAGGCGCCUGUAGUCCCAGUUACUUAGGAGGCUGGGGCACAAAAAUUGCUUGAACCCAGGAGGCGG